UAAAAGUCGUAACAAGGUUUCUGUAGGUGAACCUGCAGAAGGAUCAUUAGUGAAGAUUUGGGCAGGCCAUACGGACGCCAAAAAAUGUCCCUGGCCGCCUACACCCACUAUACAUCCACAAACCCGUGUGCACUGUCUUGGAGAAAGGCUUCAGAGAAGUUUUUUGUGGCCUCUCUUGGGGUCUUUCUUCGCUACAAACUCGAAUGGUUAGUAUGAACGUGGAACUUGGUUGGACCGUCACUGGCCAACAAACUAUACACAACUUUCGACAACGGAUCUCUUGGUUCUCCCAUCGAUGAAGAACGCAGCGAAACGCGAUAGGUAAUGUGAAUUGCAGAAUUCCGUGAAUCAUCGAAUCUUUGAACGCACCUUGCGCUCUAUGGCAAUCCGUAGAGCAUGCCUGUUUGAGUGCCAUGAAAUCUCCCACCCCAAGCGGUUUUUAAAUGAAACGGCUUGGCGGAUGGGGUCUGGAUGGGUGCCUCUGCCUGCGCUACCUAGCACAGGCUCGCCCGAAAUGCAUGAGCGCCUUGAGACACUUUGCAUCCGCCUCUCUGUUUGGGAGGAGGCGGCCAAGCAGUGUUUUUCUCCUGGCAUGGCAUGAUACGUCAUUUGCUAUGUCGCCUAAAGGAGGAAUGUUUGGUUGUGUCUGCGUGUGCUUCGAACUUGCCUCUGUGGCACAUCCCAAUUUCACUUCUGGUCUCAAAUCAGGUAGGAUCACCCGCUGAACUUAAGCAUAUCAAUA
rnacentral:rRNA from 1 species